GAUGAACGCUGGCGGCGUGCCUAAUACAUGCAAGUCGAGCGAACAGAUGAGAAGCUUGCUUCUCUGAUGUUAGCGGCGGACGGGUGAGUAACACGUGGGUAACCUACCUAUAAGACUGGGAUAACUCCGGGAAACCGGGGCUAAUACCGGAUAAUAUUUUGAACCGCAUGGUUCAAUAGUGAAAGACGGUUUCGGCUGUCACUUAUAGAUGGACCCGCGCCGUAUUAGCUAGUUGGUAAGGUAACGGCUUACCAAGGCGACGAUACGUAGCCGACCUGAGAGGGUGAUCGGCCACACUGGAACUGAGACACGGUCCAGACUCCUACGGGAGGCAGCAGUAGGGAAUCUUCCGCAAUGGGCGAAAGCCUGACGGAGCAACGCCGCGUGAGUGAUGAAGUUCUUCGGAUCGUAAAACUCUGUUGUUAGGGAAGAACAAAUCUGUUAGUAACUGAACAAGUCUUGACGGUACCUAACCAGAAAGCCACGGCUAACUACGUGCCAGCCGCCGCAGUAA
rnacentral:rRNA from 1 species